GAAACCCCUGGGUUACAGUAACGUUUCAUUGUGUACAGGUCGGGUUCUUUUAUGGUCAUGCGACUGUGGGUUGCCAUCAGAUCUUUUCUUCUUCUCUAGUAUUUUGUGAAAGAUUUCCUGUCCACUGCCUCUGAACUGACAAGAUUACCGCAGAGAAAGAGGGAGGGGAAAAAAAGAGAGAGAGAGAGAGCGAAAGACAGAGCACGAAAGAGAGCGAAAGAGAGGGGCCCAGGUCUGACAGAAUCUGUGCAGAAGAUAUAGGUGCUGCUGUAGGCCCUCCUUGGUUGUGGACAGAAGAACCAGAUCAUCAGCAAUGUCACGACUUCCGCCGAAGUCAGUUCCUCUCCUUGUUCGGACGGCGCUCGGCGGUCGACAUCGCCGGUCUUCUAGCCAUCGCCGAUCCACUUUUCAUUUUCCAAUGGUUUUGUCUUUGUUUCCCACACACCUGGUUUUCAUUUCCCAAUUACUGGUCAUGUAUUUAACCCUCUGUUUC
rnacentral:lncRNA from 1 species